rnacentral:rRNA from 1 species
GCAUAUCAAUAAGCGGAGGAAAAGAAACCAACAGGGAUUGCCUUAGUAACGGCGAGUGAAGCGGCAACAGCUCAAAUUUGAAAGCUGGCCCUUUUAGGGUCCGCGUUGUAAUUUGUAGAGGAUGAUUCGGCGAGGGCUCCCGCCUAAGCCCCCUGGAACGGGGCGUCAUAGAGGGUGAGAAUCCCGUAUGUGGUGGGCUGCCUUAGCCAUGUGAAUCUCCUUCGACGAGUCGAGUUGUUUGGGAAUGCAGCUCUAAAUGGGAGGUAAAUUUCUUCUAAAGCUAAAUACCGGCCAGAGACCGAUAGCGCACAAGUAGAGUGAUCGAAAGAUGAAAAGCACUUUGGAAAGAGAGUUAAAAAGUACGUGAAAUUGUUGAAAGGGAAGCGCUUGCAACCAGACUUGUCCGCAGUUGCUCAGCCGGUCUCCUGACCGGCGUACUCUUCUGCGGCCAGGCCAGCAUCAGUUCGGGCGGUCGGAUAAAGACCUCGGGAAUGUAGCUCCUCUCGGGGAGUGUUAUAGCCCGGGGUGGAAUGCGGCCAGCCUGGACUGAGGAUCUCGCUUCGGCAAGGAUGCUGGCGUAAUGGUUGUAAGCGGCCCGUCUUGAAACACGGACC